GGCGAGGUAGCCAAGUGGCCUAAGGCGGCGGUCUGCAAAAUCGCUAUCCGCCGGUUCAAAUCCGGCCCUCGCCUCCA
rnacentral:tRNA from 1 species